rnacentral:rRNA from 1 species
UACCAAAAACACAGCACUUUGCCAACUCGUAAGAGGAAGUAUAAGGUGUGACGCCUGCCCGGUGCUCGAAGGUUAAGAGGAUGCGUCAGUCGCAAGAUGAAGCGUUGAAUUGAAGCCCGAGUAAACGGCGGCCGUAACUAUAACGGUCCUAAGGUAGCGAAAUUCCUUGUCGGUUAAAUACCGACCUGCAUGAAUGGCGUAACGAGAUGGGAGCUGUCUCAACCAGAGAUUCAGUGAAAUUGUAGUGGAGGUGAAAAUUCCUCCUACCCGCGGCAAGACGGAAAGACCCCGUGGACCUUUACUACAACUUAGCACUGCUAAUGGGAAUAUCAUGCGCAGGAUAGGUGGGAGGCUUUGAAGUAAGGGCUUUGGCUCUUAUGGAGCCAUCCUUGAGAUACCACCCUUGAUGUUUCUGUUAGCUAACUGGCCUGUGUUAUCCACAGGCAGGACAAUGCUUGGUGGG